rnacentral:lncRNA from 1 species
UAUAAUGUUCUUUGCUCUUAAAAUAUACAGCAAUAAACACUAAAUCCAGUAAAAUGAUCAUACUUCAAUAAUACUUAUAUUUUGCACGUAUUAUGUUUUUGAGAGAUAAUUAUAUACGUGUAGUCAGUCAAUCACAAGUAAAACAAAUUAUUUUAGUAAUCACUGUGGGCCCAUGUAAUUAAUUAAUUACCAAUAAUUAGUAA